CUGUCCUGACAUACAUGACUGAUCAGCGUUCAUUUUUAGUGCUGCAUUUCACACAGAGAGGAAGAAUAUUGGCACCCAGUAACCUGCAGUCAAAACUCUUUGACUAGAGAAUUUUGCCACCUACUUCCUAGGACUGGGAAUGAGGAAAGGGAAGAGCAGCAGUCAUACUGCUGCCACUAUGGAUCGGAGUCGUGCUGAAGCUGAUGAUCUCCUAAACCAGGGGCCAAAUUCUGGGUAAGAAUUACAGACACAUGGAAAGAUGGAGAAGUUUUGAUCCUCAGAAAUGGAGCCAAUAGAUGCCCACAACACCUGCAGAAACAGCCUCCUUUAUUUGAAGCUGAAGGUCCAAAAUGGAUUCUGGUUUUAUAUAUUCCGGAGGACCCCUUCUGGGAGGCAAAAUUAGGAUAUUGUUGCUGCUCAAAUGUGUACAGAAGAAUCUGUUCAACACAAGAGCCAAAGACCACUGUGUAAAUAUGAACCCAAGUGAUCAUCUGUUAAGAAUAUACCUGAUACAGAGACAUAAAACACCUGUUACAUGGCUGAUGGGUCAAGUGUCACGUGCCCUAUCUGUACACCAUGUUUUGGGACAUACCUGGAACCAAUCAUGUUGCUGACCCAUGGCCAAAUCUAAAUGAAAGAUU